AUCCUGGCUCAGGAUGAACGCUAGCUACAGGCUUAACACAUGCAAGUCGAGGGGCAGCAUGAGGUCAGCUUGCUGACUUUGAUGGCGACCGGCGCACGGGUGCGUAACACGUAUCCAAUCUACCCUCUGCUCAGGGAUAGCCUUGCGAAAGUAAGAUUAAUACCUGAUGGUUUCUCAUUCCGGCAUCGGAGUGUGAAUAAAGAUUCAUCGGCAGGGGAUGAGGAUGCGUCCGAUUAGCUUGUUGGCGGGGUAACGGCCCACCAAGGCUACGAUCGGUAGGGGUUCUGAGAGGAAGGUCCCCCACACUGGAACUGAGACACGGUCCAGACUCCUACGGGAGGCAGCAGUGAGGAAUAUUGGUCAAUGGUCGAGAGACUGAACCAGCCAAGUAGCGUGAGGGAAGACGGCCCUACGGGUUGUAAACCUCUUUUGUUCGGGAAUAAAGUGCCGUACGUGUACGGUUUUGUAUGUACCGUUCGAAUAAGCAUCGGCUAAUUCCGUGCC
rnacentral:rRNA from 1 species